rnacentral:rRNA from 1 species
GGGCCCGCACAAGCGGUGGAGCAUGUGGUUUAAUUCGAAGCAACGCGAAAACCUUACCAAGGCUUGACAUACACGCGAAUAGCGGGGAGACUCGCUAGCCUUUUGGCGCGUGAACAGGUGGUGCAUGGUUGUCGUCAGCUCGUGUCGUGAGAUGUUAGGUUAAGUCCUGCAACGAGCGCAACCCUUACUUUCAGUAGCCAGCAGCUAGGCUGGGCACUCUGGAGGGACUGCCGGGACAAACUCGGAGGAAGGCGGGGACGACGUCAAAUCAUCAUGCCCCUUAUGUCUUGGGCCUACACACGUGCUACAAUGGCUGCAACAAAGCGACGCGAAGGCGCGAGCCGGAGCCAAGCGCAAAAAUGCAGUCCCAGUUCGGAUUGUAGUCUGCAACCCGACUACAUGAAGCCGGAAUCGCUAGUAAUCGCGAAUCAGCAUGUCG